rnacentral:rRNA from 1 species
GAUUAACGCUGGCGGCGUGCAUAACACAUGCAAGUCGAACGAUGAAACUUAACUGAUUUCUUCGGAAUGAUUUUAAGUGGAUUAGUGGCGGACGGGUGAGUAACGCGUGAGUAACCUGCCUUGGAGAAGGGGAUAGCCUUUGGAAACGAAGAAUAAUACCCUAUGAUAUGAUAAUAUCUCAUGAUAUUAUCAUCAAAGAUUUAUCGCUCUAAGAUGGACUUGCGUCUGAUUAGUUAGUUGGUGAGGUAACAGCUCACCAAGGCAGCGAUCAGUAGCCGGCUUGAGAGAGUGUACGGCCACAUUGGGACUGAGACACGGCCCAGACUCCUACGGGAGGCAGCAGUGGUGAAUUUUGCACAAUGGGGGAAACCCUGAUGCAGCGACGCCGCGUGAUUUAGAAGGCCUUCGGGUUGUAAAAAUCUUUUGUAUGGGAAGAAAAUGACAGUACCAUACGAAUAAGGACCGGCUAAUUACGUG